rnacentral:rRNA from 1 species
GAUGAACGCUAGCUACAGGCUUAACACAUGCAAGUCGAGGGGAAACGGCAUUAAGUGCUUGCACUUUUUGGACGUCGACCGGCGCACGGGUGAGUAACGCGUAUCCAACCUUCCCAUGACUAAGGUAUAACCUGCCGAAAGGCAGACUAAUACCUUAUGGUCUUCACUUACGGCAUCAGAUGUGAAGUAAAGAUUUAUCGGUUAUGGAUGGGGAUGCGUCUGAUUAGCUUGUUGGCGGGGUAACGGCCCACCAAGGCAACGAUCAGUAGGGGUUCUGAGAGGAAGGUCCCCCACAUUGGAACUGAGACACGGUCCAAACUCCUACGGGAGGCAGCAGUGAGGAAUAUUGGUCAAUGGGCGAGAGCCUGAACCAGCCAAGUAGCGUGCAGGAUGACGGCCAUAUGGGUUGUAAACUGCUUUUGUAUGGGGAUAAAGUCAAUCACGUGUGAUUGUUUGCAGGUACCAUACGAAUAAGGACCGGCUAAUUCCGUG